AAAAGUGCCUCCAGAGACAACACGUUGCUGAGAAGAAUUAGACGGCCAAAGCUGCAGAAGGGACUGCAUCUUUGGAGACACCCCAGAAGUCCAGCACCAAAAAAGUCCCUCACAAUACCCAUAGAAGAACUGAGGCCAAGAUGGUGCAGGGUAGAGAUGACAUUUCUGCACAAGAUCAGCAAGCAGGAGAGAUCUGAGCCAGCAAUGCAGGAUAUUUCCUUCAAAGCAGUAACUGUUCUAAGUGGGAAAUCCCAAUCAGAUUUAAAAUGAGCACCAUUGAUCAGAGACAGUGCUGAAACCAUCACAAGCAUGAACAGCCUGGCUUCAGUUUCUGUCCAUUCUUGACGUGGAAUC
rnacentral:lncRNA from 1 species